rnacentral:lncRNA from 1 species
UCGUUGUAAUUUUAUCCGUUCUGAGGCGUACAAGAAACUUUAAAACGCCCGGUAUUUACAUUUGAUUUUUGUUCACGGGAACAUGCUUGUGACGUCACCUUGUUUCGUUGCCAUGCCAAGACAAUUACAUCAUUUCGCGGAAUUUUCGUUUUAUGAAAAAUUAAUUGAAAUGGACGUUUGUUUAUUUUGCUGAUAAAUAUAUUUUAUCUGAA